rnacentral:rRNA from 1 species
GUCGAGGGGUAGCAGGGUAGCAAUACCGCUGACGACCGGCGCACGGGUGAGUAACACGUAUCCAACCUUCCCAUAACUCGGGGAUAGCCUUUCGAAAGAAAGAUUAAUACCCGAUAGUACUUUUUUAGGGCAUCUUAGAAAAGUUAAAGAUUUAUUGGUUAUGGAUGGGGAUGCGUUCCAUUAGAUAGUUGGUGAGGUAACGGCUCACCAAGUCUUCGAUGGAUAGGGGUUCUGAGAGGAAGGUCCCCCACAUUGGUACUGAGACACGGACCAAACUCCUACGGGAGGCAGCAGUGAGGAAUAUUGGUCAAUGGGCGAGAGCCUGAACCAGCCAAGUAGCGUGAAGGAUGACGG